CAGAAUACAGGGCUCUUCGGUCCAUGGCAGGAUGGCACAGAGCAGAACGAGCAGAGCACCGCAGACUUCAAAGGAAGAAAAAUGCACCUUGGUCCUGCGGAGCCACUGUUACCUGAAAUUCAUCGCAGGAUGCAGCUUUGUGCUCUCAGUGAUACAUAGUAACAGCAACAGCAACGUGGCUAGUACUUACCAUCUUAUCAUUGUGCUGAGCACAUUACAGACUCUACCUGAUUUACUGUCCUCUCAAUAGCUCUGCCAAACAGGAGUUAUCAUUUCGUCCACUUCUUAGGAAACUGAGGCCCAAAGGAGUUCAACUAUUUGCCUCAGUCAUGUGACUAACAGGUGGCAGAUCCAGGCAGUGCACCUUGUUCUUAAUGAUGGUCUCUGGCACUGUGAUCAUUCUACUGUGUUCCACCUCUUCCCUGUGUAUCUGGAUGACUGCACAUGGCUUCUGACUAAGAAAGGAUGGAAUUUGAAACAAGAGGCUUUUCUCCCUGGACACUGUAGGAAGGCCCUUGCUCAUGACUCCAGACACAGAGAUCCCGGCUCCUGAUUAGGAGCAGGAGCACAGCCAGCACACACUUGAGGCUGCAAGUUCACAGAAAGCAGCCCAAAGUCUGACCAGAUGUUUUUGGGGGAGGAGGAAGCUUUACAAGAACUGAGAAAACAGAGAAAUACAGCCAAUAAUCUCCCUGCAGUCCUGGCCUCAGUGCCUCCACCAUCAGAAAUGGAUUCCCACCUCCAGUAGAAAACUCAGCUUCACAGUAGAAAUCCAAUGGAGCCCCCAAGAAGAAAGGGAAUGGGAAGGGACACUAGUGUCUUUGCACCUGGGAUGCACUUCAAGGCACAGUCUCCAGGCUUUCCAAUCGGGGUCAUUGAAACCAAAGUCAUCUGAUGUUACGAAGUGCCCCAUUGGCUGAACAUAAAGGGGCUAAAAAAUAUGGAAAGAUUUCCAAGUGCCAGCCUCCACUGUGACUUUCAGAAUGACCUAGUGAAAAUCUAGAGAGCAAACACUUUCACCCAGAGUGUCUGAGUCUUCAACCCUCUGCAUAGCAGCAGGACAAGUGUCCCGACCAAGAGGAUGAGUGCUAAGUGUGGUAAGGGCAGCAGAAAGUGGUGCUGUGGUGAAGCCACACCAUCCCACAGGACACGGCCUCCACCUGUCAUGGGUGACAGGAAGGAUGCUGCCAUGACAGAUGGGGAAACUGAGUCUCCAGUCUUGACACACACCCUCAUUUCAUCCAGGAGCAAUCUGAUAGCAGACUUCAAUCUGAAAACAUUAUACAUCUCAAAUGUAAUUAAGAAAUUUCAACUGACAUGAAUAUGUAAUGUACACACUGCUCGCAGAUGCCUUUUCUGUCCGAC
rnacentral:lncRNA from 1 species